rnacentral:rRNA from 1 species
UACGUAGGGGGCGAGCGUUAUCCAGAUUUACUGGGCGUAAAGCGCGUGUAGGCGGCUGGUUAGGUGUGAUGUGAAAUCCUCGGGCUCAACCCGAGAACUGCAUUGCAAACCGGCCUGGCUAGAGUGCAGGAGAGGGAAGCGGAAUUCCAGGUGUAGCGGUGAAAUGCGUAGAUAUCGGGAAGAACACCCGUGGCGAAGGCGGUUCUCUGGGACGGUACUGACGCUGAGACGCGAAAGCGUGGGGAGCGAACAGG